rnacentral:tRNA from 1 species
GCCGCCGGUGCGCAGCAGGUAGCGCAGCGCGCCGUUGACCGGCGUGUCCGCCACCGAGAAGUUCACGUUCGCCGGCGGCACCA